AUUGAACGCUGGCGGCAUGCUUUACACAUGCAAGUCGAACGGUAACAGGGAGCUUGCUCCGCUGACGAGUGGCGAACGGGUGAGUAAUGCAUCGGAACGUACCCAGUCGUGGGGGAUAACGUAGCGAAAGUUACGCUAAUACCGCAUACGUCCUGAGGGAGAAAGCGGGGGACCGGUAAGGCCUCGCGCGAUUGGAGCGGCCGAUGUCGGAUUAGCUAGUUGGUAGGGUAAAGGCCCUACCAAGGCGACGAUCCGUAGCGGGUCUGAGAGGAUGAUCCGCCACACUGGGACUGAGACACGGCCCAGACUCCUACGGGAGGCAGCAGU
rnacentral:rRNA from 1 species